AGUGCAACUGCUAAAUGGUAUGAUGAGAAUUGUCUGGUUUUAUAAGGAAUUGCUAAAUAUCUUCCAAAAUGUCUGUAUCAUUUUAUAUUCCCACCAGCAGU
rnacentral:pre_miRNA from 1 species